rnacentral:tRNA from 1 species
GGGGCUUUAGCUCAAUGGUUAGAGCAGGGGACUCAUAAUCCCUUGGUUCCGGGUUCGAAUCCCGGAGGCCCUACCA